CAGCGGCGGACGGGUGAGUAACACGUGGGCAACCUGCCCGCAAGACCGGGAUAACUCCGGGAAACCGGAGCUAAUACCGGAUAACACCGAAGACCGCAUGGUCUUUGGUUGAAAGGCGGCCUUUGGCUGUCACUUGCGGAUGGGCCCGCGGCGCAUUAGCUAGUUGGUGAGGUAACGGCUCACCAAGGCGACGAUGCGUAGCCGGCCUGAGAGGGUGACCGGCCACACUGGGACUGAGACACGGCCCAGACUCCUACGGGAGGCAGCAGUAGGGAAUCUUCCGCAAUGGGCGAAAGCCUGACGGAGCGACGCCGCGUGAGCGAAGAAGGCCUUCGGGUCGUAAAGCUCUGUUGUGAGGGACGAAGGAGCGCCGUUCGAAGAGGGCGGCGCGGUGACGGUACCUCACGAGGAAGCCCCGGCUAACUACGUGCCAGCAGCCGCGGUAAUACGUA
rnacentral:rRNA from 1 species